rnacentral:rRNA from 1 species
CUUUCCGUCCGGGAUAACUAGCCGAAAGGUUAGCUAAUACCAGAUACGCUCACCGUGCGGCAUCGCACAGUGAUGAAAGCAGCAAUGCGCGGAUUGAGGAGGCUGCGGCCCAUUAGCUAGUUGGUGAGGUAAUGGCCCACCAAGGCGACGAUGGGUAGCUGGUCUGAGAGGACGACCAGCCACACUGGGACUGAGACACGGCCCAG